GUAGGGUGCGAGCGUUAAUCGGAAUUACUGGGCGUAAAGCGUACGCAGGCGGCUCUGUAAGACAGGUGUGAAAUCCCCGGGCUCAACCUGGGAACUGCAUUUGUGACUGCAGGSCUAGAGUUUGUCAGAGGGGGGUGGAAUUCCACGUGUAGCAGUGAAAUGCGUAGAGAUGUGGAGGAACACCGAUGGCGAAGGCAGCCCCCUGGGGCAUGACUGACGCUCAGGUACGAAAGCGUGGGGAGCAAACAGGAUUAGAUACC
rnacentral:rRNA from 1 species